GGUGUUUGGCAGACCUUCGCGACGAUAGGAAAGCUGUUGGUGCGGCUACAUUGAUGACGAGGAGCGCCGAUGGAAGCAUCGUUAUGGAAGCACUCUGUGUGUAUUCAGUAGCCGAAUUUAAUCAUGCUAUUGCGGUACGACUGACACUCUAGACUCCGGUUGGGCAGAACAGCGGUGAGAAGAAAACCAGUAUCAAGAUCGUUGGCCCAUGGCGCGAACUGGUUUCCAUCUUUGUUUCUGACAAUUCUGUGCUUUCAGGUAAAAUUGAGCUUCAAUACUAUUCGUAGCCUGCCUCUAGAUGAUCCAGAAGGCGUUACAACAAUAGCCGACGUGCAGCGAAUCGGAGAAGCAAAGCUGGAUGAAAGUAGCCGGAGCUAUAUUGGCAGCGGCGCAGGCGAAGAACAGACCUUGAGAGAGAAUAUUAGGGCAUUCAAGAGACUCCGCUUUCGGCCUCGUAUUCUUGUUGACGUUUCUCAGCCCAACACCAGCACCACAGUUCUGGGAGAGAAAAUUGCGUUUCCGAUUGGGUUCUCACCGUCGGCAGCGCAUAGGAUUGCAGACGACGAAGGAGAAAAGGCUACAGCGCAAGCUGCUCAAGAGGCUGGAACAGUAAUGAUACUGAGUGCCAUGAGCUCCACGACGCUGGAAGACGUGAGGGCCAGUGCUCCCAACUUGACCCUGUGGCAACAAUUAUACAUAUUUGGCAAUCGCUCCCUGACCGAGUCACUUGCGAGGAGAGCCGAAAGACAAGCUUUUUCCGCCAUCGUGCUCACCGUAGAUUCACCCACCACUGCACAAACGUCCAUUGUGACCAAAAGCCAAUUCCAACUUCCUGAAGGCAUUAGUCUCGCAAACCUCGAGGCAUCUUUUCCCGGUCAUUCUUUCAAUUUCGAUCCAAGCAGUGAAUAUUAUCUAGGAAACUACCAUACAGCCACGGCUACAUGGGAUGACGUGCUUUGGUUGAGAGGCGUCACAGAUCUUCCUAUUGUCGCCAAGGGCAUCCUCACAC